UGUGCUGGAGAGAGAGAGGGAAAGAGAGAUGUUCUACCAACAAGAAAUAGAGGGAGAGAGAGAAUGAAAUAUAUUUUGCCAGAAAGAGGGAAGAGUAGGAAUGAGAGGUGUUUACAUCGAGAGAGUGGAGGGAGAGGAUACGGGAGAUGCUUGCGUCGAAGGGAGAGAGAUAGGGAAUGAGAAUUGUUCUGUCAGUGAGAAACAGAGAAAGAAAGAGAGAAUAAAAUGUAUUUUACCAAUGAAAGUGAA
rnacentral:lncRNA from 1 species